CUCUCCUAGGCCAUAAGAAGAUAAUGCUGCAGCCUCUGUGGCCCCUCUGAGCUGGAUUGGAUGAACUCCAGCUGCAAGUGGAAAGGGCAGGGGUGAAACACAUUUAACUGUGGAAAUGGAAAAAAACACCAGGAGAAACAGAAGAGAAAGGAGAGGGAGACUGAAGGAGUGAGGAAAGCUCUGUGCCACCAGGAGAUGGCUGAAGGCCUUGGAUGGACACCAACCGUGAUUCAUGUUAAUCAUAAAAGUAUUGGGGUUUGUAUAAACCACAAUACUUAGGUCUGAAAAUGAAGCAUGACAUUAAAGAAAGGAAAAUAUAUGAUUAAAUCAUUCUGUUUUGCUAACAGUUUGCAAAACAAAGCUUUCACACAGCCCAGUAGAUUCUGCAAAAUCAGAUUUCCUGCCUUUGUGUAAUCAAUUGCAGUCUGAGACCAGACUUCCCGACUUCUGUCAUUCCUUAUCCACCAAGACCAGAUAGUUAGCUAUGGGACUUGACAAACUGUCUAGAGACUCACAUUGUCCAGCGAUCCCAUGGACCACCACUGCUUACCUGGCAGAAUUAUGACAGCAAAAAAAAAAAAAAAACCAACAAUUAUUGAUUGCUUCAAGGAAACCAUACUAUAAAACGGAGCUUCAAAACAAAGUUCGGUGGAGGAUGGAGUGGGCAGUGACUCCCCCCUGUGUAUCCCCAGCGCUGCAUUGCUCUGUCUAUAUAAAAUAAAACAAUCUAAAUUUUGCUGAA